GCAUUGAUGAAGAGUCCCGUAUUGGGACGAAACGGCCGUCCAGUGC
rfam:Schistosoma rodhaini strain Burundi genome assembly, scaffold: SROB_scaffold0001461